CAGUCGCCACGGUAAUACGUAGGUGGCAAGCGUUGUCCGGAAUUAUUGGGCGUAAAGGGCUCGCAGGCGGUUUCUUAAGUCUGAUGUGAAAGCCCCCGGCUCAACCGGGGAGGGUCAUUGGAAGCUGGGAAACUUGAGUGCAGAAGAGGAGAGUGGAAUUCCACGUGUAGCGGUGAAAUGCGUAGAGAUGUGGAGGAACACCAGUGGCGAAGGCGACUCUCUGGUCUGUAACUGACGCUGAGGAGCGAAAGCGUGGGGAGCGAACAGGAUUAGAUACCCGUGUAGUCCCUGUCUCUUUACC
rnacentral:rRNA from 1 species